rnacentral:tRNA from 1 species
GCGCUCUUAGCUCAGUUGGAUAGAGCAACGGCCUUCUAAGCCGUGGGUCGGGGGUUCGAAUCCUCCAGAGCGCGCCA